CCUACGGUGUGCUGCAGUGGGGAAUAUUGGACAAUGGGCGAAAGCCUGAUCCAGCCAUGCCGCGUGUGUGAAGAAGGCCUUCGGGUUGUAAAGCACUUUCAGUGGGGAAGAAAGCCUUGGGGCUAAUACCCUCGAGGAAGGACAUCACCCACAGAAGAAGCACCGGCUAACUCCGUGCCAGCAGCCGUGGUAAUACGGAGGGUGCGAGCGUUAAUCGGAAUUACUGGGCGUAAAGCGCGCGUAGGCGGUCUGAUAAGCCGGUUGUGAAAGCCCCGGGCUCAACCUGGGAACGGCAUCCGGAACUGUCAGGCUAGAGUGCAGGAGAGGAAGGUAGAAUUCCCGGUGUAGCGGUGAAAUGCGUAGAGAUCGGGAGGAAUACCAGUGGCGAAGGCGGCCUUCUGGACUGACACUGACGCUGAGGUGCGAAAGCGUGGGUAGCAAACAGGAUUAGAUACCCUGGUAGUC
rnacentral:rRNA from 1 species